CAUAAGCUGCGCCGUCAUUGAAAGUCGCUGUAUCACUGUUGUCCAGUAGGAAUAAAGUCUCCCCGAGGAAGGAUUAACAGACUUGUCUGAACAACUAACUACAAAGUAACAACCACAAGUUUGAAAGCGUUCAACUUGUUCAAACGUUGGCUAUAUCCCAAUCCUUAAAAGACUAAAUCGAAAGAAAGGAAUUCGUAAUAAUCGGUUGGGCAUUAAAUGUGGCUGAACUCCUGACGGAGCAAUACUGUGGCACAGGGUUGUAAAGCGAAAACAUGCCGAGUGAAAUCCUGAGGACUGUCUGCGCCGCGUUCACCGCCAUCGUUGUGUUCAUUCGAGCGGUGGACUCGUUUGGGGGUCUCAUGUAUGUCCAAGAUCACCAUGGUUACAUCUACGACGACUGUCCGACUGACGGGAAGUUAUCCUCAAGUUAUGCCUCCUCAUGUCAAUGUGACAACCGCAGCAGAGUGGCGACAGGGUUGUAAAGCGAAAUCCUGAAGACUGUCUGCGCCGCGUUCACCGCCAUCGUUGUGUUCAUUCGAGCGGUGGACUCGUUUGGGGGUCUCAUGUAUGUCCAAGAUCACCAUGGUUACAUCUACGACGACUGUCCGACUGACAGGAAGUUAUCCUCAAGUUAUGCCUCCUCAUGUCAAUGUGAAAACCGCAGCAGUGUCGAGAGGACCCACUAUGCUGCCAUGAACUAUCAUAACUAUCUUGUGUUGAGCUCGAAUAUUUGUUGUUGACCUUGUGUUCUUAGAUUAGGUUUUUUUUCUCCAUAGGCUUGUGCUACGUCUCUUUUGGACCAUUCAUUAGGCUAAUGAAUCAAUGUUUUGUAGGCCUUUGAGAGGCAAUUGGGAUCGCAGGCUAUUCUACUACUGUUUCAUAAAUGUCGUACGAU